GCUGUGGCACCUGUCUGUAGUUCCCACGGCUGGGAAAGUUGAAUUGGGAGAAUCUCUUGAGUGAUUCUGGACUGUUGUGGCUGUAAUGUGGCAGUCCAGUGUGUAUGUUGAUGGGGUGUUCUCACUAAGAUCAGCAUCAGUACAGUGAACUCCUGGGAGUGGAGGCCCACCAGUUUGCCUAAGGAGGGGAGAACUGACCCCAGCUGGAAAUGGUGCAAGUAAAAAUUCCCAUGCUGAUCAGUAGUAAGUCCAUGCUGUGAAUGGCCACUGCACUCCAGACUGGGCAACAGAGUGAGACUCCAUCUCA
rnacentral:SRP_RNA from 1 species